CUGAAGGAGGGCAUCGUUUAUGAUUCCUCAGGCUCAGGCAGCGAACUCAUCGAGCUACCCAUGAACACCGCCCCGUCGACCUACUCUGUCCAGGUUCUUAGCCAGGCCGGUGGCACUUACAAGCAGUGGGGCGAUUCCAAGACGUAUACUCAGACCGCUGACAAGUGUGCUCACGUCACAACCGCCAUCUACGAAAACCAGCCCUCCACUCUUGUCGGAACCCAAGCGUUUUUCACCGUAUUUUCCAUCGUCGUCCUCAUUGUCUCGUACACCUACGAUCGCUCGAAGAAUUAGGAGAACGUUGUGACGUGGAAAUCAUGUUCUGCAUUUUUGAGCCUCUCGCGAGCAACGAGAGGUUGUCCCGGCUCUUGUCC
rnacentral:lncRNA from 1 species